rnacentral:rRNA from 1 species
GUGAGGAAUUUUCCGCAAUGGGCGAAAGCCUGACGGAGCAAUGCCGCGUGAAGGAUGAAGGCCUAUGGGUUGUAAACUUCUUUUCUCAGAAAAGAAUUAUGACGGUAUCUGAGGAAUAAGCAUCGGCUAACUCUGUGCCAGCAGCCGCGGUAAGACAGAGGAUGCAAGCGUUAUCCGAAAUGAUUGGGCGUAAAGCGUCUGUAGGUUGUUUAAAAAGUAUUCUGUCAAAGAUUAGGGCUUAACCCUAGAUAGGCAGAAUAAACUUUUAAGCUAGAGUUUGGUAGAGGCAGAGGGAAUUCCCGGUGGAGCGGUGAAAUGCGUAGAUAUCGGGAGGAACACCAAAGGCGAAGGCACUCUGCUGGGCCAAUACUAACACUGAGAGACGAAAGCGAGGGGAGCAAAUGGGAUUAGAUACCCUUGUAGUCC